AUAUAUAUACACACAUGAAUGUAUAUAACAAGUGAUGCACAAGCAAUUGCUCACCACUCUUGCCCAGCUAGCCCCCCAGGCAGCAGUGGGGGCCAGAGAUGAACUCACCCCCCUUCGUAACUCCUUCCACUUGAUGUCAUACGAUACAGAAUAUCUCUUCAGCCAGUUUAAGUCAGCAGUCCUAAUUCUGUUUCCUUUCAGCUCCUUGGGCCCUUCAUUAAGAAUGGACUUGGGUCUGUAUAACACUGCUUACCAGCAGCUAUAAACAUCAGUGAGUUAUCAACAUUGUUUUCCUUCUAGAAUCAAAACACAGCAUCACACCAGACACUCUGAAGAAAACAAUUCAAUGCCAGCUGAAACUAAGACAUUACAUCCAAAUAAUUUAUGCUAUUUUAUUUUCUGGUAUAUGAACAAAUGAAGUAUAGGUCAGUUAACAACAAAAGUAAUGAUCUUUGGGUGGGCUACUCUAGGUGAACACAUGAAGCACAUGUUCUCUGGCAGUUUUGAAACCACAGGAAAAGCAGCACACUGGAUGGAACCACACCCUGAGCACGGGAGCUGUGCUGGGAACCUGUCUUCAGAAGGGGGACAUCGGAGUGGUUUGUACCCAUUGUGAAAGCACUGACUUACUUCAGAUUGGCACUGCACUUAGUUUGAGUGAUAAUCCCACUUCUACAGGGAAUAGCAGCAAUUGUCCUUGUUAUUACUAUUAGGGCUGCCCCUCAGAGCAGGAAAGUUUGUCAGCCCAUUUCCUCAACAAAGAGUCCAUGUGGGAAACAUUCUACUUCUGCUCACCCUUCAUCCCCACCCGAGGCAGGGAGCUCAUCCCUCUCACCUCUUUCCUCCCUGAUAGACUUCAGGGCUGCAGCUGGUGCUUGGAAUUCCCCUAUCAGGAGCAAAAAAUCCCCACUGAUUGUGUCAACUCAUCUACUGAGGUGGACGCCUGAUCAAGCCCAAGUGCCGGUACUCUGAAAGGUCACCUUGCAAUAAAACCACGUGUGAAGUACCUCAAUGUGGGACUCUCAGCCACCAGGAGAUCCAAGGAUGAGGUGAAAUUUUGGGAAGUUUAUGGAUAUGGGCAUAUCUAGUAAAUACCCAGGUUUGCAGUGCCUGCAGUUAGACCCCCCAGAAAUAUGAAGGCAUUACAGGAGAUGCACUAGCAGGGAGAGAAGGAGGGCAGAUACAUCUGGCUUUAGUGGACCAGCAGGAGAAAGAAGGAGAGAGUGUGGUAAGGCAGAAGGCAGGGAUGCAGGAAGGGGAGGGCCGGGAAGGGCCAAGGAGGGAAUGAAGAUGCCAGCAGUGAUGUGGUCAGAGCUGUUAACCAGAAUGGUGAGCUGAACAGCCCAGAAGCAGAGACGGGAGAACGUCCAUGGAAAGCUGGAGGGAAGCCUCCACAAAGUCUUGUCUAUCUAGCAGGAGAGUCAAAGUACUUGUUGCUCUGGUAGGAAGACCUGCCAGCCACACUAGGAUGCAGUCUUCCUGACUAUGCAAAUAAGAAGGCAGAGAGGACACCUGCAUUAAAAUCCAUCAACGCUGGAAGAACUGAUGCUGUCAGCCACCUCUGAGGAAGCAGGCGAGACAAAAGGUUUAGGGAAGGGGAAGAAAAGAUCAACUGACUGUGUAAAGGCCAAACACCAGAGAGGUAGUGAGGGAAGUGUGAGAGCCUACCAAAACAAGAUGUAAAAGACCCCUGCAUGGCUGGGGAGAAGUUAUUGCUUGAAAGCAAGUUCUGUGAGCUGCUGUUCUCAGGAUGUCCUUGGGCCUGACCCAGAGAUGGGUGCAGGAAGAAAGAAGGGAGCAAAGCUGGAGUGUGCCUCUCCAAGAGUAGCAGAAAAUUAAGGGACAUCAAAAGCUGGAAAAAAGGCUGAGGAGCAGGGCCUGCAGACAGUCAGGAGCGAUGGUUUGGAAGAAGAAAAAAAAAAAAAGCUUCAAAAAAAGGAAGCUAAAAAUCUUCAGUAAAAAUACAUUCCAUGGUGACAAACAAAGCAACAGAGGAAACGUGGAACAGAGCGUCUAUGACACCGCCAACACCAGGCCUCCGCAGCGUGGAGGCAGCAGGAGUGCUGACAGGCAGUGGGGCCGAGGAGGCAGCAGGGCUAUGAAGGACCCCGAGCCCCACAGCUGGGAUGGCUCAAGUCCCAACACAGAGCCUUGGCUUCUGUCAAAGCUUUCACCAGCAGUUACCAAUGAGUCCAUCAGUAGGAAGAAAAUACAGAUUCCUUGUUUUCAGCCACAGCUGUCUUCCUCUAUUGCUCUGAAAGCUUCCCAGUAAGAGAAAAUAAAAGCUGCAGAACAGUUACUCAUAUGGGGCUGCUCACAGUGUGUAGGAAAUUAGAUGCGUUUGUUUAGAAGUCAGAUGGUAAAAUACAAGAAACAACUCUAAGACUGAAGUUUUAAGAGCCAUAAGGAAGCUCAGAACAAUCUUGAGUGCCGUGGCACAGAGCUGCUGGGUGACAGUUGCUGCUCUGUCGGGACACCGUGCCCAACUACUGCACCUUACACGUCCCCCACUGUCUGAAAGGAGCAAUCCCAGAAUCUCUAGAAGAGCUCCAGGCCAGCGGGAUCCGUGCUCCCGCGGAUGCACGGAGCGGCUGCCCUGCCCCAGCCUUCAUUCGCACCGCACUUCUGAAGAGGGAAAACUGGGGGAUAAAAAACAAGAGGAGAAAAAAAAGAAGAAAAAAAAAAAAAAAAAAAGCAGCCAUCGCGGAGCACCGUUCCCCCGGCGGGGAGCGGCUCGGAGCGAUGCCGGACGCCGGACCGGUGCACAGUCUCCGCCCCGCACCCCCUGAGGCCGCCCGGGGGCUCCGCGGCUCCGAGCAUAGCAGUGCUCUGCGGCUGUUACCUCCGGGGGAAAAGCGCUGGAGAACGGGAAGGGAUACAUUAACGCGAGCCUGUGAGCCGUACUUGCUCAGGAGCGGUAAUUCUUUUGCAAGCAAACACCCAGAGAAACCCUGCUUUUCUGCAGUGGAGGGACGCGCAUCACAGCACCUCUCUCCGCCCGGCAAUGACGGAAAGCGCAGACAGCGGCUGCAGCCCGCAGAUCCUGCAUGGCCCCCACCGCGCACCUGCUGCCGGCACCGGGUGGGGACUGGCAGAGAGUGCGGCCCAAAAUGGCCCCCGGGGAACGGGUGGGUCGGGGAUGGGAAGAAAGAAAAAAGGAGAAGGGAAAAAAAAAA